AUGAUCACUUUGUCAGCACAAAUACUAAAAAUGAAGUGAUACAGAGAAGAUUAGCAUAGCCACCAUGCAAAGAUGGCAUGCAACUUUAUGAAGUAACCCUUAUUUUU